rnacentral:tRNA from 1 species
GGGCAGGUGGUGGAACUGGCAGACACAAGGGACUUAAAAUCCCUCGGCCGCAAGGCCUUGCGGGUUCAAAUCCCGCCCUGCCCA